GCCUUCCCCGACACACACAGAGUAAUAAUAAUAAUGUGGUUUUUGAAAAAGACAGCGGCAGAGAUCUGCAGACAACUUUGAGGAAGGCUUCUCGGCAUCUUUGUUAGAGCCGACUCUCCUUCGUGCUGGCUGGUCCUGGAAUCCUCUUCUGAGCCGAAGCCACAAACCUCGGGCUCAAGCUGAAGGCCCUGGAAUACCGGGAGAACUCCACAGGCUGCUGUAGGCGACGGAGGGGAGCUGUGCCUCUUGUCCCUGCCCUUCCCGAUGCUAACACCCCAUGCUUUGUGCUCACCAAACACGCAGACUCAUCCUGCUCCUCUGAGCUGCUGCAGUGAGCUAAGGAAGGCCUCCGGGCACAGUGCCGGGCACUGAGCGGGGCGAGGCAGCCGCUACGUCUGCGGUGGUGAGGCUGCCACACUCUUGGAAGGAGGAGCCGGUCCUGACCGGAGGGGGACAGCUGGCAGAGGGUGGGGACACUGGCACACUGCUUGUGAGUCAGCCUCGCUGGGACUGGGACGUGCUGAAGCAACCUUGCCCUCUGAUCAUCCCAAUAAACUCACUGGUUUGGUAACCUGGACAGA